rnacentral:tRNA from 1 species
GCCUCUGUAGCUCAGUUGGUUAUAGCGCUGCACCGGAAUCGCAGGGCCGUAGGUUCAAUUCCUACCAGAGGAC